ACUUUAUUUUCUGUUGUGCAAAAAUUCUUUUUCUGAGAGCAAAGUGUCUGUAGUGAUCAAAGUAACCACAGAGUUGCCUAGGGAUGGAUUGUAUACAUUAUGAUCUUUGUGAUAGCUAUUCUAUGUCUGUAAACUGUCUGAGGUACAAGAAACUAUGUACAUGUGUGUAGGUUAUCCAGUAUUGAAGCAAAAGGUUGAGUUUAAACGAGGUGGGAGGUGUGCUAACAAAGGGGACUGGACCAAGUUUGUAAUGAAUACAAAGGCAUCUCAAAAUGAAGAGUGCUUGGAUGUUGUUCAUUUUAUAACCAAGUGGUGUGGUCAACCACUUAAUCCAGCUCACACGUUCUAAGACAUUAAAAGUUUACUGCAUAUGCCAUUAACAGAUACAUCACUUAAGAUUAUUCUAUCAAAAAAAGUUUUUUAAAACAUUG